rnacentral:tRNA from 1 species
GGCCGUGUGGCCUAAUGGAUAAGGCGUCUGACUUCUAAUCAGAUGAUUGCAGGUUCGAACCCUGCCUGGGUCA